AUACUUCCCUCUUCAGAUUGUAUAAAUCUUUCACUUUUUACUAAAGAUAUCCAUGAAGAUAACAGUUAAGAGUUUUUCAUUAAUUUUUUGAGGCCUAGUUUAUGUGAGUCU